GUUCAUAGGAUGGAGUAUCAUUUAAUGACCCCUAGCUCUCAAGAAACCUGCUCCCCACACCUGAAUUGUUAAAAUAUCCUGCCCUGACCAUAGAUAUCACCUUCCCCAGACAGAGGUGGAUGGGAGCCUCAGGUAUCCAGGGCCAAAGGAAUGGCAUGAUCCAUUCUGGUACAACAGACAAGAGCUAGUACCUUCCCCUCCACUCUCAGAUCCUCUCAGAAUGGGCCAGAGGCUCUGAUGUCUUCAAACCUUAUUGCCAAUCCAACCAGGCCUCAGCGGUUUCAUUUAGACAUGACUUAGGUAAGGAUGUGGCUCCCUCCUGGAUCACCUGCCUGACCCCGGGCCGAGAGACAGAUGGGAGUAUGCACUUGGCUUGCCAGCCCUGGGAACCCCACGCGGUGGGAAAGGGAACAGCAGCUCCCACAAACGGAAAAUGCCCCUAACAUACAGCAUUCUACAGCCACCCUGUCUGUUGGAGCAGCAGCGCCAGGUUUGAUGUGGCUAAAGGCGGGGCCAGACUGGGAGGAGC